rnacentral:rRNA from 1 species
AGGACGAACGCUGGCGGCGUGCUUAACACAUGCAAGUCGAGCGGAAAGGCCCUUCGGGGUACUCGAGCGGCGAACGGGUGAGUAACACGUGAGUAAUCUGCCCCUAGCUCUGGGAUAGCUCCGGGAAACCGGGAUUAAUACCGGAUACGACCACUACGGACAUCUGUGGUGGUGGAAAGAACUUCGGCUAGGGAUGAGCUCGCGGCCUAUCAGCUUGUUGGUGGGGUAACGGCCUACCAAGGCGACGACGGGUAGCCGGCCUGAGAGGGCGACCGGCCACACUGGGACUGAGACACGGCCCAGACUCCUACGGGAGGCAGCAGUGGGGAAUAUUGCGCAAUGGGCGAAAGCCUGACGCAGCGACGCCGCGUGGGGGAUGAAGGCCUUCGGGUUGUAAACCCCUUUCAGCAGGGACGAAGCGAAAGUGACGGUACCUGCAGAAGAAGCGCCGGCUAACUACGCGCUAGCAGCCGC